rnacentral:rRNA from 1 species
ACCCUAGGUUAGCGGGGUUACCCGCUGAUUUUAA